GGGCCCGCACAAGCGGUGGAGCAUGUGGUUUAAUUCGAUGCAACGCGAAGAACCUUACCUACUCUUGACAUCCAUGGAAUCUUGUAGAGAUAUGAGAGUGCCUUCGGGAACCAUGAGACAGGUGCUGCAUGGCUGUCGUCAGCUCGUGUUGUGAAAUGUUGGGUUAAGUCCCGCAACGAGCGCAACCCUUAUCCUUUGUUGCCAGCGAUUAGGUCGGGAACUCAAAGGAGACUGCCGGUGAUAAACCGGAGGAAGGUGGGG
rnacentral:rRNA from 1 species